GCGCCGGUGGUGUAAUGGUUUACCAUUAGAGCAUUCCCCCGCGGUCACCAGGAGGUGCGGGUUCGAAUCCCUCCUGGCGCU
rnacentral:tRNA from 1 species